GUAGGUGUAGACUUGUGGAACAUAAAAUUGGAGAUGCGUGUGUGAAAUUGUAACGGAAAAUAUUUUGUUCUGUUCCGCGCUGUACUAAAAAGCUUGUAUGGAGGCAUGUAAAAUAUAUAAAGCGAGAGAAGGAGAUAGUCAUGUGUGUAAAAUUCAGUAUCCCUGUACGCGGCGUUUCGUCCUUCAUGGACUCGUCAGCAGGGAUUGGGGUUGGCAAUUGUGUGAGAAAGACAGAAUAUAGAAGCCGAUUUGGAAUAAAGUGAAAAAACAUAAAAAUUAGCAAUAUGUGCAUAUGACUAUUGUAUAACGUAAAAUGUAAAUUGUCUUGCCAAAAUCGUUGUUGAGUUUGGUCAAUAAUUAUUACUAUUAGGUACAGGCCUUUGAGGCUGAUGUAGUAAAGAUAUG